ensembl:lncRNA
CAAUGUGGGGCAAACUGUUGACUGUUAUUGGUAGAAAGAUGGCAGCACUGUCUCUUGGACUGGUGAUGUCACAGCUGUUUGUCAGAGGCAGUGCGGUUAAAGUCCUGUCUCAGCCGGGGAACACAGUACAGUUUCCAUGUUACUACAGUUAUGAAGACCACCAGGACAUCCCACAGCUGUCUGUCCAGUGGAGAGGCCCAGGCAACACACUCCUCUGUCACUACAUCAAACACAAGGCCUUCCAGAACUGCACCCAGGGCUACUCACUGGACUACAUGCCGAGGAAGAUCACUCUGAGCAUCACAGAGGUCAGAACGCAAGACUUCGGAUCUCACGUCUGUUCCGUUAGCAAGAGACACGAGUUCACGGACUUUAGCAUCGAGCUAGUCGUGAAGACAGAUCCCAUCACUUCCUUACCGACGAACAGGUGGGCUCAGUCAGGUCUUCCUGAGGGACAUGUUGUUGUCCUCGUCUGCUCUGUGUUGGUCAGCACCUGGGGAUGAAUAGCACAAAUACUGUGAAAAUAAAGAACCGAUUGAGAUUACAUUUUUUUAUAUAAAUAUUGUAAUUAGAAAUAAAGAAUAUACGCUUCAUUAACGUUGUAUUCUGAAAUAUUAACUGUUCAUUAAAUAGUAGUGGUGUGUGUGUGUGUGUGUGUGUGUG